rnacentral:rRNA from 1 species
GGGCGUUAAGUUGCAGGGUAUAGACCCGAAACCCGGUGAUCUAGCCAUGGGCAGGUUGAAGGUUGGGUAACACUAACUGGAGGACCGAACCGACUAAUGUUGAAAAAUUAGCGGAUGACCUGUGGCUGGGGGUGAAAGGCCAAUCAAACCGGGAGAUAGCUGGUUCUCCCCGAAAGCUAUUUAGGUAGCGCCUCGUGAAUUCAUCUCCGGGGGUAGAGCACUGUUUCGGCUAGGGGGCCAUCCCGGCUUACCAACCCGAUGCAAACUGCGAAUACCGGAGAAUGUUAUCACGGGAGACACACGGCGGGUGCUAACGUCCGUCGUGAAGAGGGAAACAACCCAGACCGCCAGCUAAGGUCCCAAAGUCAUGGUUAAGUGGGAAACGAUGUGGGAAGGCCCAGACAGCCAGGAUGUUGGCUUAGAAGCAGCCAUCAUUUAAAGAAAGCGUAAUAGCUCACUGGUCGAGUCGGCCUGCGCGGAAGAUGUAACGGGGCUAAACCAUGCACCGAAGCUGCGGCAGCGACACUAUGUGUUGUUGGGUAGGGGAGCGUUCUGUAAGCCUGUGAAGGUGUGUCGUGAGGCAUGCUGGAGGUAUCAGAAGUGCGAAUGCUGACAUAAGUAACGAUAAAGCGGGUGAAAAGCCCGCUCGCCGGAAGACCAAGGGUUCCUGUCCAACGUUAAUCGGGGCAGGGUGAGUCGACCCCUAAGGCGAGGCCGAAAGGCGUAGUCGAUGGGAAACGGGUUAAUAUUCCCGUACUUGGUGUUACUGCGAAGGGGGGACGGAGAAGGCUAUGUUGGCCGGGCGACGGUUGUCCCGGUUUAAGCGUGUAGGUGUGUGUUCCAGGUAAAUCCGGUUCACUUUAACACUGAGGCGUGACGACGAGGCACUACGGUGCUGAAGCAACAAAUGCCCUGCUUCCAGGAAAAGCCUCUAAGCAUCAGGUAACAUCAAAUCGUACCCCAAACCGACACAGGUGGUCAGGUAGAGAAUACCAAGGCGCUUGAGAGAACUCGGGUGAAGGAACUAGGCAAAAUGGUGCCGUAACUUCGGGAGAAGGCACGCUGACACGUAGGUGAAGUGAUUUACUCAUGGAGCUGAAGUCAGUCGAAGAUACCAGCUGGCUGCAACUGUUUAUUAAAAACACAGCACUGUGCAAACACGAAAGUGGACGUAUACGGUGUGACGCCUGCCCGGUGCCGGAAGGUUAAUUGAUGGGGUCAGCGCAAGCGAAGCUCCUGAUCGAAGCCCCGGUAAACGGCGGCCGUAACUAUAACGGUCCUAAGGUAGCGAAAUUCCUUGUCGGGUAAGUUCCGACCUGCACGAAUGGCGUAAUGAUGGCCAGGCUGUCUCCACCCGAGACUCAGUGAAAUUGAACUCGCUGUGAAGAUGCAGUGUACCCGCGGCAAGACGGAAAGACCCCGUGAACCUUUACUAUAGCUUGACACUGAACAUUGAGCCUUGAUGUGUAGGAUAGGUGGGAGGCUUUGAAGUGUGGACGCCAGUCUGCAUGGAGCCGACCUUGAAAUACCACCCUUUAAUGUUUGAUGUUCUAACGUGGACCCGUAAUCCGGGUUGCGGACAGUGUCUGGUGGGUAGUUUGACUGGGGCGGUCUCCUCCUAAAGAGUAACGGAGGAGCACGAAGGUUGGCUAAUCCUGGUCGGACAUCAGGAGGUUAGUGCAAUGGCAUAAGCCAGCUUGACUGCGAGCGUGACGGCGCGAGCAGGUGCGAAAGCAGGUCAUAGUGAUCCGGUGGUUCUGAAUGGAAGGGCCAUCGCUCAACGGAUAAAAGGUACUCCGGGGAUAACAGGCUGAUACCGCCCAAGAGUUCAUAUCGACGGCGGUGUUUGGCACCUCGAUGUCGGCUCAUCACAUCCUGGGGCUGAAGUAGGUCCCAAGGGUAUGGCUGUUCGCCAUUUAAAGUGGUACGCGAGCUGGGUUUAGAACGUCGUGAGACAGUUCGGUCCCUAUCUGCCGUGGGCGCUGGAGAACUGAGGGGGGCUGCUCCUAGUACGAGAGGACCGGAGUGGACGCAUCACUGGUGUUCGGGUUGUCAUGCCAAUGGCACUGCCCGGUAGCUAAAUGCGGAAGAGAUAAGUGCUGAAAGCAUCUAAGCACGAAACUUGCCCCGAGAUGAGUUCUCCCUGAGACUUAGAGUCUCCUGAAGGAACGUUGAAGACGACGACGUUGAUAGGCCGGGUGUGUAAGCGCAGCGAUGCGUUGAGCUAACCGGUACUAAUGAACCGUGAGGCUUAACCUU